GUUUUAAAACUUUUAUAAUCCUCAAAAUUAAAAGACGUAUGAUGCGAGCUUUCCUUGCCACGUUUCUCUUUUUUUCUUUCUCUUUUACUACUCUUCAAUGGAGCAGCUUCCACCACCGCCUCCGAUAAAGUCUCCACUACCGAUAAAGUCUCUCCUUCCGAUCUGCUUCAGAUUCCACUUUUCCUCUUCAAGAUCCAUUUUUUAUACAAUUCUCUCACGAUCUCUCAGGAUCACUACCGAUGAACCCCAAUACCCCUUUUCUCUCCAAAAUAUGCUUCCCCGUUUUUGCCGGCAAAUUUGACCUUUUUACUUUACUCUUCUCUUGGCCUUUUAAGUUCAACCCUGUGCUUUUCUUCUUUGUUUUUUUUUUUGUGUUUUUUGGUUUAUUCUUGUCUUGUUGGUGUUCCGUGACUGUUCUGCUUCACUAAUUGGAUCCUACUUUGCAUGCAGCUUUGCUAGGGAUGUAGAUAUAUGGUUGCGACGCGAAGAAGGAGCUCUAGGUGAAGGACGAUGAAGGAUGGCUCACGCAGGAGGAUGCUCGCGCUCUGAAUUCAUGACGACUUGGGGGUUGUUUGUGGGAUCUGAUGAUGGAGGCUGUAGAGACUCGCGACAGCAGCGAAUGGUUGCUCAUGGUGGUGGUGGUCCGAUGUGAGCUUGAAGGAUUCGUGGUGUUGAUGGCAGCUUUUCGGCAGUAGCGGCCUUGCGACGGCAUAGCUGACGGCAGAGGAGGAUUAGGGUUUUUGGAGUUUGGAGAAGGUAGGCGUUUCUGGGUUGGUGACAGAAAAAGCAAUAUACAAGUGAAGCUGGCAUCAAACGCCGUUUGCCACAUCAAACCAAAAUUAAUUCCGUUCAAUUUUAAGAACUAAUUAUAAAAAUUGAACUAAUGACAUAGAGACUAAAUCCAAAAUCACUAUUAAGAGACUAAUAUAUAUUAAGGGACUAAUAUAUAUUAGUAUGAUAAAAAAAUUAAAAGAUAUCUAACAAAAAUGAUAACCACCACAUUGAGACACAUUAGUAAGUAUAUAUAAUGUACUUAAACAACAAGUAAGUUAAACAUUGAAUACAUUUAUUAUGUUCACAAUAUUGUUAUAAAACUGAACUAAAAUAAAUAAAUAAAUAAAAA